GUUUGAUCCUGGCUCAGGACGAACGCUGGCGGCGUGCUUAACACAUGCAAGUCGAACGGAAAGGCCCUGCUUUUGUGGGGUGCUCGAGUGGCGAACGGGUGAGUAACACGUGAGUAACCUGCCCUUGACUUUGGGAUAACUUCAGGAAACUGGGGCUAAUACCGGAUAGGAGCUCCUGCUGCAUGGUGGGGGUUGGAAAGUUUCGGCGGUUGGGGAUGGACUCGCGGCUUAUCAGCUUGUUGGUGGGGUAGUGGCUUACCAAGGCUUUGACGGGUAGCCGGCCUGAGAGGGUGACCGGCCACAUUGGGACUGAGAUACGGCCCAGACUCCUACGGGAGGCAGCAGUGAGGAAUUUUGGACAAUGGGGGAAACCCUGAUCCAGCGACGCCGCGUGUGGGAUGAAUGGGUUAUGCCCUGUAAACCACUGUCAGCAGAGAAGAAAAGGCUCCUUUGGAGCCCGGGACUGUAUCUGCAGAGGAAGGACCGGCUAACUACGUGCCAGCAGC
rnacentral:rRNA from 1 species